GCAUUAAUAGGGUAGAGGUAACCCAGGUCUUCAAAGUUCCAAAAUUCCAUGAAAACUUUACGGGCCAGGCGGGGGUUCGAAUCCCUCUUAAUGCA